rnacentral:rRNA from 1 species
GACGAACGCUGGCGGCGUGCUUAACACAUGCAAGUCGAACGGAAAGGCCCUGCUUUUGUGGGGUGCUCGAGUGGCGAACGGGUGAGUAACACGUGAGUAACCUGCCCUUGACUUUGGGAUAACUUCAGGAAACUGGGGCUAAUACCGGAUAGGAGCUCCUGCUGCAUGGUGGGGGUUGGAAAGUUUCGGCGGUUGGGGAUGGACUCGCGGCUUAUCAGCUUGUUGGUGGGGUAGUGGCUUACCAAGGCUUUGACGGGUAGCCGGCCUGAGGGGGUGACCGGCCACAUUGGGACUGAGAUACUGCCCAGACUCCUACGGGAGGCAGCAGUGGGGAAUAUUGCACAAUGGGCGGAAGCCUGAUGCAGCAACGCCGCGUGCGGGAUGACGGCCUUCGGGUUGUAAACCGCUUUCGCCUGUGACGAAGCGUGAGUGACGGUAAUGGGUAAAGAAGCACCGGCUAACUACGUG